GUCGUAACAAGGUAGCCGUAGGGGAACCUGCGGUUGGAUCACCUCCUUACCUGAAGAUACCUUCCCGCGCAGUGCUCACACAGAUUGUCUGAUAAAAAGUAAUGAGCAAGACGGCUGCGAAGUCGUGACACUACCCGUGUCCCCUUCGUCUAGAGGCCUAGGACACCGCCCUUUCACGGCGGUAACAGGGGUUCGAAUCCCCUAGGGGACGCCACUUGCUUGGUGACAGGUGAAAGGUGUCUCCACGAAGUAUCUCAAAACUGACUUAACCGUCAUGUUUGAGAUAUUGCUCUUUAACAAUCCGGAACAAGCUGAAAAUUGAAACGACGUGUUGGUUCACUUCUCCGUAAUAAGAAAUGAAUAACAACAUGUUCGAGUCUCUCAAAUGCUUACAGUCCGCAGCGUUGCAAAACGCCUGUGGGUUGUGAGGUUAAGCGACUAAGCGUACACGGUGGAUGCCUUGGC
rnacentral:misc_RNA from 1 species